GUGAAUACAUAGCAUAUCAGAAGGCACACCCGGAGAACUGAAACAUCUUAGUACCCGGAGGAAGAAAAAGAAAAUUCGAUUCCCUUAGUAGCGGCGAGCGAAACGGGAAGAGCCCAAGCCAACAAGCUUGCUUGUUGGGGUUGUAGGACACUCUAUACGGAGUUACAAAGGACGACAUUAGACGAAUCAUCUGGAAAGAUGAAUCAAACUUACAAGUAGUCAGAGCCCGUUAAUGGGUGAUGGCGUGCCUUUUGUAGAAUGAACCGGCGAGUUACGAUUUGAUGCAAGGUUAAGCAGUAAAUGUGGAGCCGUAGCGAAAGCGAGUCUGAAUAGGGCGUUUAGUAUUUGGUCGUAGACCCGAAACCAGGUGAUCUACCCUUGGUCAGGUUGAAGUUCAGGUAACACUGAAUGGAGGACCGAACCGACUUACGUUGAAAAGUGAGCGGAUGAACUGAGGGUAGCGGAGAAAUUCCAAUCGAACCUGGAGAUAGCUGGUUCUCUCCGAAAUAGCUUUAGGGCUAGCCUCAAGUGAUGAUUAUUGGAGGUAGAGCACUGUUUGGACGAGGGGCCCCUCUCGGGUUACCGAAUUCAGACAAACUCCGAAUGCCAAUUAAUUUAACUUGGGAGUCAGAACAUGGGUGAUAAGGUCCGUGUUCGAAAGGGAAACAGCCCAGACCACCAGCUAAGGUCCCAAAAUAUAUGUUAAGUGGAAAAGGAUGUGGCG
rnacentral:rRNA from 1 species